rnacentral:sRNA from 1 species
CGCCCCGUCAUUGGGGAGUAGCCGCCUUCGGUCAUCAGAAGGGGGCGCGUCAACAGACUAGGGCCUUUCGGCCCUUGGCGCGUCCGGCCCAAAAGCUUGGCGAGACCUUUGGCUUCGGA